rnacentral:lncRNA from 1 species
AGAAAAAGAAUUGCAAGCAAAGUAACUCCUUCAGGCGGGGAUCGGAUCUUGAUCAAGAAAAGAUCAAAGAAGAAAUUGGUGUUCCCGUCGAUCGAAUGGAAGGACGAGGUUAGGGUUCCUUCGUGUGCCGCGGGGGAGGGGGAGGGGGAGUGGAGGGGUUUUCCGUGAACGGGACGGAGAGAAUAAGCCGGGGCUAUCACACGGCGCGACAUGAUAAGAUUACCCUUUUCUUUAACAAGAAAAGGAGUGCAUGUCAAUCAUUUUGCGUUUCUAUUGGGGCAGUUUGAAUGCGAAAUUGUGCAGCAGCAGAUCGUAGAUUCAAUAUUGGCAAGAGCUUGUUUAAAUUUUUCUACAGAAAGAGGCUAAAAAUGUUAUAGAAUUUAUGGGUUGAGCCAGUACGGCCAAUAAAAUUCAUGCAAUUCAUGUGCUUUGUUUGAAAAGUAGAUUUGAAUAAG